rnacentral:hammerhead_ribozyme from 1 species
AUCCAGCUGACGAGUCUGAAAUAGGACGAAACGCGCUUAAAAAACUGGAU